AAGCUGGGCUGGUCCCCUGUAACCUCUAGGUGAGGAAGCUGGGCUGGUCCCCUGUAACGUGUCUGUGUGUAACCUCUAGGUGAGGAAGCUGGGCUGGUCCCCUGUAACCUCUAGGUGAGGAAGCUGGGCUGGUCCCUUGUAACCUCUAGGUGAGGAAGCUGGGCUGGUCCCCUGUAACCUCUAUCUGAGGAAGCUGGGCUGGUCCCCUGUAACGUGUCUGUGUGUAACCUCUAGGUGAGGAAGCUGGGCUGGUCCCCUGU